CCUACGGGGGGCAGCAGUAGGGAAUCUUCCACAAUGGGCGAAAGUCUGAUGGAGCAACGCCGCGUGAGUGAAGAAGGGUUUCGGCUCGUAAAGCGCUGUUGGUAGUGAAGAACGAUAGAGGUAGUAACUGGCCUUUAUUUGACGGUAAUUACUUAGAAAGUCACGGCUAACUACGUGCCAGCAGCCGCGGUAAUACGUAGGUGGCAAGCGUUGUCCGGAUUUAUUGGGCGUAAAGCGAGUGCAGGCGGUUCAAUAAGUCUGAUGUGAAAGCCUUGGGCUCAACCGGAGAAUUGCAUCAGAAAAUGGUGAACUUGAGUGAAGAAGAGGAGAGUGGAAUUCCAUGUGAAGCGGUGGAAUGCGUAGAUAUAUGGAAGAACACCAGUGGCGAAGGCGGCUCUCUGG
rnacentral:rRNA from 1 species